ensembl:lncRNA
UGCUUCCCAGAACGCAUGGCUACAACAUUUGGUGCAUUGGCCAGGAAACUCCUCACUUUGAGGAGACAAGUCUCAUUUGGGACUACUCCAAGGCCUUGCAGCUCAAAUCUUCUAGAGAGGGGAGGCGCCUUGCCCUUCUGGAAGGAUUCUGCUUCUCAACGCCUGGACCUUUUCACGUUAGCAGGUAGUGGAUGGCAGCAGGGGAACUGAGCAUUCAGGAUUUGGACCGGGAUGACCUGACCCCCAUACUGCAUAAUGACACACCUGCCUCGUAGUGCUCCAUCAGGAUCGGAGGCCACCUUAAUGCCUGAUCCAG